GCCUCCAAUAGCCCGACGGGGCGAAAAGCGGAAGCCUUCAUCGCCUUUGGUCGCCUCUUUUGAAGG
rnacentral:sRNA from 12 species